GGGAGCGUUACUGACGCUUAAGCUCGAAAGCGCGGGUAUCGAACAGGAUUAGAUACCCUGGUAGUCCGCGCGGUAAACGAUGGAUGCCCGCUGUUUGCGUCUAACGUAAGCGGCCAAGUGAAAACGUUAAGCAUCCCACCUGGGGAGUACGCCGGCAACGGUGAGACUCAAAGGAAUUGACGGGGGCCCGCACAAGCGGAGGAACAUGUGGUUUAAUUCGAUGAUACGCGAGGAACCUUACCCGGGCUUGAAUUGCUGAGGAAAGAUCCAGAGAUGGUGAUGCCCUUCGGGGCCUCAGUGAAGGUGCUGCAUGGUUGUCGUCAGCUCGUGCCGUGAGGUGUCGGCUUAAGUGCCAUAACGAGCGCAACCCCUCUCUUCAGUUGCCAUCAGGCUAUGCUGGGCACUCUGGAGACACUGCCACCGCAAGGUGUGAGGAAGGUGGGGAUGACGUCAAAUCAGCACGGCCCUUACGUCCGGGGCUACACGCGUGUUACAAUGGGGGGCACAGAGAGCGGGGUGCGCGCAAGCUUGCCCAAAUCCUUAAAUCCCCCCACAGUUCGGACUGGGGUCUGCAACCCGACCCCACGAAGCUGGAUUCGCU
rnacentral:rRNA from 1 species